rnacentral:rRNA from 1 species
UACGUAGGGUGCGGAGCGUUGUCCGGAAUUAUUGGGCGUAAAGAGCUUGUAGGCGGUUUGUCGCGUCUGCCGUGAAAUUUCGAGGCUCAACCUCGAACUUGCGGUGGGUACGGGCAGACUAGAGUGUGGUAGGGGAGACUGGAAUUCCUGGUGUAGCGGUGAAAUGCGCAGAUAUCAGGAGGAACACCGAUGGCGAAGGCAGGUCUCUGGGCCACUACUGACGCUGAGAAGCGAAAGCAUGGGGAGCGAACAGG